rnacentral:rRNA from 1 species
GCAAGUCGAGCGCACCCUUCGGGGCGAGCGGCGGACGGGUUAGUAACGCGUGGGAACGUGCCUCUCUCUACGGAAUAGCCAUUGGAAACGAUGAAUAAUACCGUAUACGCCCUUUUGGGGAAAGAUUUAUCGGAGAGAGAUCGGCCCGCGUUAGAUUAGAUAGUUGGUGGGGUAACGGCCUACCAAGUCUACGAUCUAUAGCUGGUUUGAGAGGAUGAUC